rnacentral:rRNA from 1 species
UACAGAGGGUGCAAGCGUUAAUCGGAAUUACUGGGCGUAAAGGGCUCGUAGGCGGCCAACUAAGUCAGACGUGAAAUCCCUCGGCUUAACCGGGGAACUGCGUCUGAUACUGGAUGGCUUGAGUUCGGGAGAGGGAUGCGGAAUUCCAGGUGUAGCGGUGAAAUGCGUAGAUAUCUGGAGGAACACCGGUGGCGAAGGCGGCAUCCUGGACCGGCACUGACGCUGAGGAGCGAAAGCCAGGGGAGCAAACGGG